UGUUCAGUGCAGGAUUUUGGUCUUUUGAAACUCAACGGAUACGGGCUCUUGAAACUCAAAAACCUUUUUUGCUCAAGACUGUAGUCCUUGCCUUGAGUUUCAAAGGCCUGUUUUGAACCUCA